rnacentral:rRNA from 1 species
AUGGAGGAGGAGAUCAAUGUCUUCUGCAGCAUGACUGAGGCGGUGAAGGAGGUGGCAACAACCAUCAGGGAGUGCAAGCCCCUCGACGUCCACCCUGACCUGUAUGGCGCUGUCAUGACCCAGGGUGGCUUCAGCGACGAGGCUCUCAUGGCAGCUCUCAGCCACCUGCUUGACAACAAGGCCCAGGGUGUUGGGUUCGUUGCCAUGGCCGACGCUCACAGGGUGUUGUGGCUCAGGAGCUGGCUGGGCAAGCACUACUACUAG